AUGGAUCGCCCGCCACAUCUCGACAUCGACCUCAACGAGCCGCCCCCGCCGUCACCACCGCCGGCGGUUCACCAGCCGCCCCCGCACGAGUUCGCUGCCGCCAUCCCCAUUGCUGCUCCUCCUCCUCCGCCGCCGCCGCCACCCCAGCUCCCGCCUCUCGCCAACGUGCAUGCCCAGCCGCUGCUCCCGCACCAGGCCCGCGAGCUAGCGCUGGCGUACCACCGUGCGGAAUCCUGGAAAUUAGCUGCUGCUACGGCCAGUGCGCCCGCGACCGCUGGUUCAUCGCUGGAGGUGCUGCCGCCACCGGUUCUUCAGUCGCCCGCUUUUGCUCCUCCGCUGCUGCCGCCGCGGCCGCCACCGCGGUCACCACAGCUCCCGCCUCCCGCCGACGUGCAGGCUCAGCGGCUGCUCGCGCACCAAGCCGGCGAGAUAGCGCUGGCGUACCACCGUGGGGAAUGGUGGAGGUCGGCCGUUGUGGCCGCGACGGCAGGUUCGUCGGUGGAGGUGCCGCGUCCACCGCCAGCGCGGCACAUGUGCGCUGCCUGCGGCCUCCCCGUGCUGCCGGGAUCAACAAUAAUUUGUGACGCCUGCGAACGUGGGCUCCACCAAGGCUGCGUCAACGUCGUGCGGCGGCCUCCGGUGGCCGUGAACGAGGGCUGGAUGUGCCCAGAAUGCGUCACCGCCCGAGACAUCACCAGGCAGUUAUGUCAGCUCCCUCUUGAUCAAUUCCUUAAGAUCGAUUCUGCGCCGGCAGCAGCGCUAGUCGAUCGCCAGACGCCACAGAGCGCCAUGAUAGCCCGUGUAGAUCCUCCUGCCGUGGUACCGAUCGAUGCAUCAUGCCAUCGAGUACACGAGCCCGGCGAUCGCAUAGUUUAUUCCUCCAGCAAUCGAGUCUGA
rnacentral:rRNA from 1 species